GAUGAACGCUAGCGAUAGGCCUAACACAUGCAAGUCGAGGGGCAGCACAUGAGUAGCAAUACGAUGGUGGCGACCGGCGCACGGGUGAGUAACACGUAUGCAACCUACCUCUAACAGGGGGAUAACCCGUUGAAAGACGGACUAAUACCCCAUAAUACAGGGGCUCCGCAUGGAGAUAUUUGUUAAAGAUUUUAUCGGUUAGAGAUGGGCAUGCGUUCCAUUAGCUAGUUGGUGAGGUAACGGCUCACCAAGGCGACGAUGGAUAGGGGAACUGAGAGGUUUAUCCCCCACACUGGAACUGAGACACGGUCCAGACUCCUACGGGAGGCAGCAGUGAGGAAUAUUGGUCAAUGGAGGCAACUCUGAACCAGCCAAGUCGCGUGAAGGAUGAAGGUCUUAUGGAUUGUAAACUUCUUUUGCAGGGGAAUAAAUAGCGGUACGUGUACCGUUUUGCAUUGUACCCUGCGAAUAAGGAUCGGCUAACUCCGUG
rnacentral:rRNA from 1 species